GGUGGGUGUCACUAUUACAUGCACCUGCUUCUGGGAGUAUGGAGGCAAGAGUUUCUAUUAGAGAUGGGUCCCAGCUGCAAUGGUAACUUUCUGUGGUAUAAGAAGGCAGACAUCAGAAAGAUCCUGGGGAUUCAUGACCCAAGGACUCAUCUAAUCCAUGCUACUGGAUAAACUGCUGAUGAUCUUUCCACAGAGCCAAUGGAUGGCCAAGCAAAUUCACAGAACAUCUGACUGUAUCUACGCUGAUGGCAAGAAGCACCAGGAGACUGCAUUAAUUUAGACAUUCAUAUCCAGCUACUGCUGGUAUGGUAGCAGUGGAACUGUUUCUGUGUUUUCUUACUGCAACACCUACCCAAAGCACUGAUUGUCAUAUUAUAAAGCCAUAAUAAGCUUGGACAGGCUAUAGCGACUUAGCCUGAAACUCCUCACAAGAUUUCAAGGUUUAAAGUAAAACUUGAGCUGCCUUUUGACGGUGUGGUUAGUGAUAAAUCCCAAGUUGCUUCUCUCAUUUGAGAAAACCUCAAACCAUUCUGUCUGUCAUUUGAUGAUUUUAUGAUUUAUUUUACCUAUAUACCAAGAAAGAAAAAAAAAAAAAAGAAAUGUUCUUUACUGUCAAAAAAACUAAGAAAACAGUAUUUGGGCAUUUUCAGGAAUGUUUUUGAAUACUCCUUCCAGUACAAAUCCUUGUAAACUCCAGGAAAACUUCCUUUUAAGAAGAGGUCUCAGCACAGGAUGUUAUGCUUCCCUCUCCACUAUAUUGAAAUCCCAAGGGCAACGUCUUAUCUUGGUUUAGAUAAGGGCAGUCCAGAUUUUUAGCUGGAGUUGCAUCCAUUUCUGCCAGGUAUGGAUCCUGCUCUUUUAAGGUAGAUGUGAGGGCUGGGGAGGCACUGCCAAAUCUAGCCCUGCCCAGGGUGUGGUGGGGAAGGGAGGUGAGGAUUAAUGACAGCCGCAGUGUUAUUCGUUCUAUGAGGACAAUCUUGGCUUUCCAGUCCAUUCAGCUAUGUAAUCUCACUCAUUAUAAGGUAUAACUCUAUAUAAAUGCUUAAAAUAUUGCCAGGUAUGGUGUUGUAGCAGAGAUGGAAUGAACACUGUUAUUAACAUGCACGAGUUUAAACGAAGUUUAAACAAAGCUUGUUCAUAUGGCUCCUAUUGCUGUAGUAUUUGAGCACCUUUAAUGUAUUUAAUGUAUUUAUCCUCACAAAAUCCCUGUAAGCUAGUGUAGUGUCAUUAUCUCCAUUUUACAGGUGGGCAGAGCAAUAGCCAGGGUACAUCCAGGAGCACAGUCAGGGAUUUCAGCAGGGCAGGUUUCUGGAGGAAAAAACAUGCCUGUGGUUGAACAUCACAGCUGAAGCUUGUAGGUGCUCUGCAUUCAGCACCAUGCAGGCUGCACUAUUUUGAGCCCAGAUAUAAGCCUUCAACACAAGCAUCAAAAUCAAGAGUAAAUGCAUCCCAAGGGUAUCAAAAGCACUGUCUUCUUCUAGUCUGUGUUAAAGAAGCACUAAUACAAAUUGUAAAAACGUUUUGGAAUCCAAGAUCUGGAGAGAGCUGUACUUAUAUUUGGCACUCAAAUAAUGCAAUAUGUGGAAGGAGACAAUUUCAGGAGACUCCCAUGGUCUGGGCCCAACCAAUGGGCUAACUUCUUGGACACCUCGCAGCAGAGCAAUCAGGGUUUUUUCUCCAGAAUUGAGCCCUGAGUAUUACUGACAAUGAGACCUGAGAACCUCAGUUACAGAUCCUCACAAAAAAAAAAAAAAAAAAAAAAAAAAAAAAAAAAAAAAAAAACUGGGGUGUUUCAGGACAAAGUUCCAAUUUUAUCUCAUUUCCAAAAUAUGUAUCAGGCUUUUGGUGUUCUGAGUUUGAAUUCUUUACCUUAAAGUUUACUAUGGAUGUCAUAAAAAAUUCCCCUCCACGGUGUAAUGAUUAGCUUCAAAUGACCCCAAGGUCUGGUUUUAAGGAUAUUCCUAAUGCAGAGAUAAUUUUGAUGAGAAGCUUCUGGUUUAAAGUGAAACCUGAAACAAUGUAAAUUCUUAUUUUAGUGCAAACAUUUAUGCCAAGAGUUGAUAGGAUUUUUUUUUUUUUUUUCUACAUAUUUUAUGGGUUUUGGAUUUAAAAAAAAAAACAACAGUUUAUCAUAAUUGAAAUUUAACAUGGGGGUGUAGCAGUUGAAAUAACAUUUUUAUAAGGUGUGUCACAUCCAAGAAAGCAUCUCAGGUCAAAAAUGAGAGCAUGCAAGAUAUUAUCCAUAUUAUCCAAGAGCAACUCACUACUUUGGACAUUUACAAGUGUUUAAAUCCAGUUUCAAGCACCUGAGCUGUCUGUUUCAUGUCCUAGAUGAGUUCCUUAACUAUAAAAAUGUUGAAUUUCCAGUUCCAAAUAUGUCUUCAAACAGAGACUAACAAGAAAGUCCAAUGACUGAAUUUCAUAACUGGCUUGUGGAAAACUCGGGCUUGUGGAAAAAUUUUGCUCUGACAUGAAACAGAGACCUUUCUUUUAAAAAGUGUUCAUUUCAGAGGCUGGAGAAAUUGUUUGCUGUUCUCUGUACUUGUUAUUGUACAUCUAAACUUAUUAUAUCACAUUUCUAUUACAUUGUGUUAGAAUGUAUUAAAAUGUGGGGUAUUUUGAACUUUGA